rnacentral:tRNA from 1 species
GCCCUGGUUGCACAAUGGUUAAGCACUUGGCAGCUAACCAAAAGGUUGGUGGUUUGAACCCACCCUGUGGCU